GGAAAUUUCGAAAAUUCAAUGUCGCUCGAAUCUUGGACGUUUACGGGAUGUUUUCAUCUUUAACACGAAAUAAAUCCAAUUUACGUACUACUGAAUAACACCGCGACGUUCGUUUUAUACCAAACGGUGUUUAAAGUAUAUUUUUCGACUUUGACCGCCUCUAACCGCGGUCGGAUCGAGCCCGGACGCUGGGCCCUGAAAUAUCAACGGCGCCUUUACAUCCUCGGAACGAAUUCAUAACAUUUUAGGCC